UGACUCUUCUUCUGUUUCAGGAGCUACAGGAGUUAUUGUAGGCGUGGUGGUUGGAGUCGUUGUGGUUGGAGUCGUGGUUGUAUUGAUUGCAGGUCUUGUGUUUUACUGCAUAUAUAAAAAGAAACUAAGAGGACCUCACGUGGAACUACAUGUCACUCAAAGUAAUAACCUACUAAUCAACAAUGCCUGACAAGAGACAAAGUCAAAGUGUGGAAGCAACAAACGUUUGACCCUGAGUAACUUCCUACAAGCUGCUUAUCAACCCACUGCUGCAGUGAAUCAAGAUGACACUGCGCUGCACUGAAGUGUGACUGUUUGCAAUUAUUGUGAGCAUAAUACUCAAAAUACUUUCUCCACAAAUCCAAAAACAAAAAUAAUGGGCUACACAUUCUUAUAAUAUUGGAUGUAACUUUUUAACUUGGGCCAUUCAAUGACCUAGUGGUCUGUUUUACUGGACUGUGCAUAACAUAGGAAACUGUAUGUUUUUGUGGUUGAUGCUUGGGAUGAGUAUGCUACAAAUGAAUUGCCUCACGUGGGAUCAUUAAAGUUGUUUGUUGUUGUUAGUGGUUGGGUCUCAAGAACCAAAAUAGCCUAACUCUAACCCUUCUACCAUCCCACUGGCCAACGAAAGAGGGAAGUGUAUAGGCUACUCACUUGUUGUUAAGUUAGCCUACCUGUUCACUUUUGUAUUGAUUAACCAUUUAUUUUUAUUCAUUUUUCUGUGCAGAGCUUGAUGUUUUUAUUUAUAUGACUUUUAUAGUACACAUAGGCCUAAUGCUAUUCAUAUGUUAUUAUCACGGUGUCUGUAAAUAUUUUAUUUGUUGAUACAAAAAA